UACGGGGGGAGCAAGCGUUGUUCGGAUUUACUGGGCGUAAAGGGUGCGUAGGCGGUCGUGCAAGUCGGAUGUGAAAUCUCAGGGCUCAACCCUGAAACUGCAUUCGAUACUGCGUGGCUAGAGUGCUGGAGAGGAGACUGGAAUUUACGGUGUAGCAGUGAAAUGCGUAGAUAUCGUAAGGAAGACCAGUGGCGAAGGCGAGUCUCUGGACAGCAACUGACGCUGAGGCACGAAGGCCAGGGGAGCAAACGGG
rnacentral:rRNA from 1 species